UCCGGUGGUCAUAACGGAGGUGUAACACCUGUCCCCAUUCCGAACACAGAAGUUAAGCCCUCCAGUGCCGAUGAUACUUCUUGUUUAUCUUGCGGGAAAGUAGGUCACUGCCGGAU
rnacentral:rRNA from 1 species